UACGUAGGGGGCAAGCGUUGUCCGGAAUCAUUGGGCGUAAAGCGCGUGUAGGCGGUUCAGUAAGUCUGCUGUGAAAGUCCAGGGCUCAACCCUGGGAUGCCGGUGGAUACUGCUGGGCUAGAGUCCGGAAGAGGAGAGUGGAAUUCCUGGUGUGGCGGUGAAAUGCGCAGAUAUCAGGAAGAACACCCGUGGCUAAGGCGGCUCUCUAGUACGGUACUGACGCUGAGACGCGAAAGCGUGGGGAGCGAACAGG
rnacentral:rRNA from 1 species